rnacentral:tRNA from 1 species
GUCCGAAUUUAUGUGAAUUUGGGUCAUGUGACUAGAUUCAGGUUCUAGUGUCCUUAACGGACGUGGAGGUUCGAAUCCUCUCUUGGGUA